rnacentral:lncRNA from 1 species
CGGGAAAAACACCGGGAAUGACACCAGGAAAAAUACCGGGAAAAACACCGGGAAUACCGGGAAAAACACCGGGAAUGACACCAGGAAAAACACCGGGAAUGACACCGGGAACAGCGGGAAAAACACCGGGAACACCGGGAAUGACACCGGGAACACCAGGAAUACCGGGAAAAACAACGGGAAAAACACCGGGAAAGACCCUGAGAACACCAGGAAGAACAACGGGAAAGACACCGGGAAAAACAAUGGGGAAAACAAUGGGAAAAACACCGGGAACACCGGGAAAGACACCGGGAAAAACACCGGGAAAAGCCCCGGGAACACCGGGAUAAAUGCUGGGAGCACCGGGAACACCUGGAAAAACCCUGGGAAUGCCGGGAAAAACCCCGGGAACACUGGGAAAGACCCCAGGAACAGCGGGAAAAACCAUUGGAGCACCGGGAACACCGGGAAAGACCCCAGGAACACCGGGAAAAACCAUUGGAGCACCGGGAAAAACCCCGGGAACAGCGGGAAAGACCCUGGGAACACCGGGAAAGACCCCGGGAACACCGGGAAAAGCUCCGGGAACACCUGGAAAAACCAUUGGAGCACCGGGAACAGCGGGAAAGAUCCCGAGAACAACGGGAAAAACACCGGGAACAGCCCCGGGAACAGCUGGAAAAACCCCGGGAACAGCGGGAAAAACCCCGGGAACAGCUGGAAAAACCCCGGGAACACCGAGCCAACAACAGCCGUCAACGGGAAGAAGCAGAAAGGCAGGAAAAGCUCCCCCAACCCCCAGCAAAACACCUGAAAACGCCGGAAUUCCACGGGAAAACAGCGGGAGAACUCCAGAACCGGGGGAAAAACCCCGGAAAAAACCCCGGAAUGUUCCGGAAAAACCCCCGGAAAAAACCCUGGAAUGUUCUGGAAAAACCCCGGCAAAACCCCCGGAAUGUUCCGGAAAAACCCCGGAAUGUUCUGGAAAAACCCCCGGAAUGUUCCGGAAAAACCCCGGAAUGUUCUGGAAAAACCCCGGAAUGUUCUGGAAAAGGCCCGGAAUGUUCUGGAAAAACCCCGGAAUGUUCUGGAAAAGGCCCGGAAUGUUCUGGGAAAAGCCCCGGAAUGUUCUGGAAAAGCCCCAGAAAAGCCCCGGAAUGUUCCGAAAAGCCCCGGAAUGUUCCGGAAAAGCCCCAGAAUGUUCCGGAAAAGCCCCAGAAAAACCCUAGAAAGCCCCAGAAUGUUCCGGAAAAGGCCCGGAACCCCCAAGGAAAAGCGCAGGGAAACGGAGCCGGAUUCAAGUUUUUAUUUUGGGGAGGGGUCCUGAGUAGAGCAAUAAAUAAAAAAACCCCUCCCCCA